UUCACACACGUGACGGUCGCUCUGUGGGAGCUGCAGCUCCUGCUCGGAGUAAUUGGGUGGAGUCCAUGAAAGUGUGAUCUUUCUGUGGUUCCAAGUCCACACGUCACUACAUGUUCCUAGGGUAAGGUCUUUUCUAAGCCCACUGGAGGAAGCAACAUUUUUGAACAUUAAACACCAAACCCUGUCAGAUUGCGGACUCAAAAUGUUUGAUCCGUCUAAAGGAAGCUUAAAUGAGGACUAAUGGCCUGCUGCCGGGUGAAAGUCUGUCCUGAAAGUAUACAGUGAGAAAUGCAGCUGCCACUCCCCCAGUGCCUCCAGCCUGGUUUCCGUCCCUCCUGCCAGUUGUUGAUCUGCUUAACAUCUGCCUCCCCCACAGGACUGGAGUGGACCA